rnacentral:rRNA from 1 species
GGUUCUAUUUUGUUGGUUUCUAGGACCGCCGUAAUGAUUAAUAGGGACAGUCGGGGGNCGUCAGUAUUCAACUGUCAGAGGUGAAAUUCUUGGAUUUGUUGAAGACUAACUACUGCGAAAGCAUUUGCCAAGGAUGUUUUCAUUAAUCAGNGAACGAAAGUUAGGGGAUCGAAGACGAUCAGAUACCGUCGUAGUCUUAACCAUAAACUAUGCCGACUAGGGAUCGGGCGAUGUUACUUUUUNGACNUCGUUCGGCACCUUACGAGAAAUCAAAGUCUUUGGGUUCCGGGGGGAGUAUGGUCGCAAGGCUGAAACUUAAAGAAAUUGACGGAAGGGCACCACCAGGAGUGGAGCCUGCGGCUUAAUUUGACUCAACACGGGGAAACUCACCAGGUCCAGACACAAUAAGGAUUGACAGAUUGAGAG